GACGAACGCUGGCGGCGUGCUUAACACAUGCAAGUCGAACGGUGAAGCUCCAGCUUGCUGGAGUGGAUCAGUGGCGAACGGGUGAGUAACACGUGAGCAACCUGCCCCUGACUCUGGAAUAAGCGCUGGAAACGGCGUCUAAUACUGGAUACGAGAAGGGUCCGCAUGGGCACUUUCUGGAAAGUUUUUCGGUUGGGGAUGUGCUCGCGGCCUAUCAGCUUGUUGGUGAGGUAAUGGCUCACCAAGGCUACGACGGGUAGCCGGCCUGAGAGGGCGACCGGCCACACUGGGACUGAGACACGGCCCAGACUCCUACGGGAGGCAGCAGUGGGGAAUAUUGCACAAUGGGCGAAAGCCUGAUGCAGCGACGCCGCGUGAGGGAUGACGGCCUUCGGGUUGUAAACCUCUUUCAGCAGGGAAGAAGCGAAAGUGACGGUACCUGCAGAAGAAGCACCGGCUAACUACGUG
rnacentral:rRNA from 1 species